rnacentral:rRNA from 1 species
UACGUAGGGGGCAAGCGUUGUCCGGAUUUAUUGGGCGUAAAGAGCGUGUAGGCGGCUAGGUAGGUCCGUUGUGAAAACUCGAGGCUCAACCUCGAGACGCCGGUGGAAACCAUCUAGCUAGAGUCCGGAAGAGGCGAGUGGAAUUCCUGGUGUAGCGGUGAAAUGCGCAGAUAUCAGGAGGAACACCAAUGGCGAAGGCAGCUCGCUGGGACGGUACUGACGCUGAGACGCGAAAGCGUGGGGAGCAAACAGG